GUAAAAUUGAACAAAGAUCUCUUUGUUUUGGGCUUUUAGGAAUGAAAACAAAAUCAACGUUUACAAAUAGAAAUUUGACCAAAAAUUAAUUUUCUGUCAUCAGCACAGUUAAAAAUUCUUGAAACAAUAAACCAUUGAACUUAAUAUUCGGACUUACUUCUUUAUCUAACAAAAAAAAACAACAAAUAAGGAUGUGUUUUCUUUUCUUAGAAACAAACAUCUGUAAAUCGAAGAAUCUGAUUCGAAGUUAAAUCAUUAAAAUAAACCAUAAAAAUCAUAUAAUUGGAAGCAUUUAAGGGAGUUGAUGUUUCGAAAUGCAUGCAAAAAUUCAAAAGCUUAAUAAACAAUUGCUGACUGUAUUCCUAAAAGAUAUAACAAAAUGCCAAAAUAACUGCAUCAAUAACGUCUAUAUUUUUGUUUUAUAACUUUUAUAGCUGAUGAUACAUUGUCGCUCCUUACUGAGGGCAAGUGAAAGAGUUAAUUUGUGGAUGUUAGCUUGGUUG
rnacentral:lncRNA from 1 species